rnacentral:rRNA from 1 species
GACGAACGCUGGCGGCGUGCCUAACACAUGCAAGUCGAGCGAUGAAACCCUUCGGGGUGGAUUAGCGGCGGACGGGUGAGUAACACGUGGGUAACCUACCUCAAAGAGGGGGAUAGCCUCCCGAAAGGGAGAUUAAUACCGCAUAACAUUAGUUUUUCGCAUGAAGAACUAAUUAAAGGAGUAAUCCGCUUUGAGAUGGACCCGCGGCGCAUUAGCUAGUUGGUGAGGUAAAGGCUCACCAAGGCGACGAUGCGUAGCCGACCUGAGAGGGUGAUCGGCCACAUUGGAACUGAGAUACGGUCCAGACUCCUACGGGAGGCAGCAGUGGGGAAUAUUGCACAAUGGGCGAAAGCCUGAUGCAGCAACGCCGCGUGAGUGAUGAAGGCCUUCGGGUUGUAAAGCUCUGUCUUUGGGGACGAUAAUGACGGUACCCAAGGAGGAAGCCACGGCUAACUACGUGCCAGCAGCCGCGGUAAUACGUAGGUGGCAAGCGUUGUCCGGAUUUACUGGGCGUAAAGGAUGCGUAGGCGGAUAUUUAAGUCAGAUGUGAAAACCCCGAGCUUAACUUGGGGACUGCAUUUGAAACUGGAUAUCUAGAGUGUGGGAGAGGAGAAUGGAAUUCCUAGUGUAGCGGUGAAAUGCGUAGAGAUUAGGAAGAACACCAGUGGCGAAGGCGAUUCUCUGGACCAUAACUGACGCUGAGGCAUGAAAGCGUGGGUAGCAAACAGGAUUAGAUACCCUGGUAGUCCACGCCGUAAACGAUGAGUACUAGGUGUAGGAGGGUCCAACCUUCUGUGCCGCAGUUAACACAAUAAGUACUCCGCCU